rnacentral:misc_RNA from 1 species
UUAUGACUAUUCAUUCUGAUAUAUAUGAAUCUACUCAAACAAUUUCUUUAUUUGGGUAUAGAUGGUUUACCACUUCUAUUGACUAUUGCACUAGGAUGACAUGAGUUUAUUUGAUGAAAGCAAAAAAAUGAAGUGUUUUCUGCCUUUCAGUAAUUUCAUAAAAUAAUUUACGCAUAGUUUGAUGCUAAGGUUAAAAUCCUAAGAACUGAUAAUAGCAUAGAAUAUGUUAAUGGUGGUAUUUGUGCUUAUUUAGAUUCAAAUGAUAUAGUGCAUCAA